CCUACGGGAGGCAGCAGUAGGGAAUAUUGCUCAAUGGGGGAAACCCUGAAGCAGCAACGCCGCGUGGAGGAUGACGGUUCUAGGAUUGUAAAAUCCUUUUGUUAGAGAAGAUUAUGACGGUAUCUAACGAAUACGCACCGGCUAACUCCUGGCCAGCAGCCGUGGUAAUACGGAGGGUGCAAGCGUUACUCGGAUUCACUGGGCGUAAAGCGUGCGUAGGCGGGGUAAGAAGUCAGAUGUGAAAUGCUGUAGCUUAACUACAGAACUGCAUUUGAUACUGUUACUCUAGAGUGUAGGAGAGGUAGGUGGAAUGUUUGGUGUAGGGGUAAAAUCCGUAGAGAUCAAGAGGAACACGCAUUGCGAAGGCGACCUGCUGGAACAUUACUGACGCUGAUGCACGAAAGCGUGGGGAGCAAACAGGAUUAGAGACCAUUGUAGUC
rnacentral:rRNA from 1 species